CAGCCGCCGCGGGAAUACAGAGGGUGCGAGCGUUAAUCGGAUUUACUGGGCGUAAAGCGUGCGUAGGCGGCUUCUUAAGUCGGAUGUGAAAUCCCUGAGCUUAACUUAGGAAUUGCAUUCGAUACUGGGAAGCUAGAGUAUGGGAGAGGAUGGUAGAAUUCCAGGUGUAGCGGUGAAAUGCGUAGAGAUCUGGAGGAAUAUCGAUGGCGAAGGCAGCCAUCUGGCCUAAUACUGACGCUGAGGUACGAAAGCAUGGGGAGCAAACAGGAUUAGAUACCCCUGUAGUCCCUGUCUCUUAUAC
rnacentral:rRNA from 1 species